UCGACUCCGAAGAAUGAGAUCAUCAACUCAAAACAACACACAUGAAACACAUGACUAAUCGAAUGCUACGCCAGCUUGUCAGAUGAUCUUUGGCAGAUUUAAAGUCAACUGAGCUUUGGUCAAACUUUCAAAGUAGCAGAGAAAAGUGAGCUAGACAUCACAACAUUAGACUCAGGUGGACAAUGGGGGUGUUCAGCAACAUUCAGGUUGUGGUUGAGCUACCUGCCAAUGUUCCUUUUAAGAGGAAACAGGCUCUCAAAAAGCAGAUCACAAAUAAUGAUGGUGUGAUUUCAUACAUAAUAACUAAAAAGACAAAUGUUGUAGUUAUUGAAAACAAAGAACAGGUGGAUUCUUCAUACAAAUGCAGGAAAGCCCUAGAUAUGGGGAUUCCUCUUGUGUCAGUGGACUUCAUCACAAGAUGUAUAGAACAGAAUGUGCUGCUUAAUACAGACAAUUUCCUUAUGGCUGGCAAAACCAAGGAUGAAAUAUUUAGCACUGGGAAGAUCGUUGCCUCAGAUCAAGUAAGGGACAAGCCCAAGAAGAAAAUUGUGUCAGUGAACUUAAACACGUGUAAAGUGUGGUCGUGGGAAGAUAGCCAACAACCAUUCUUUGACACAUACAAUUUUGUUAAGGGAGUUGUGCUUCAAAGGGAGGAAGGAAAAACAAAAGCAGUCCAUUUCUGCGUACUUGAAAUUCACACUCAUGCAGAUAAUAGAGCAGACAACACAUUCCGAGUAUUCACACACUGUGGCAAAUUGAGCUCUAGCAAGGAGGCUAACAAGUCUAAGAAAGAGUGUCGUUAUGCAUCAACAUCAGAGGAGGCCCUUUCUAUAUAUUCCCAGCUAUACAGGCUUUAUACAACUGCCCCACAUAAUUUAACAAAGACAAAAUGUCCUGUUUCACGGAGGAUUGGCUCAGACAAGUUUCAAGCGUUGCUAUGGCAAUUUGGCCAGGAUGCACCUGUGGGGAGAGAAGUUGGGGACCUGAUGGACCAUAUUUGGCAGGAAGCUACAGGACAGCUGGAAGAUACAUUAGACAUACCAUUGGAACAAGUCAAAUUGGAAGAGGUGGAGAAAGCAGAGGGCAUACUGUCACAAGUGAAAGAAGCUCUUGGAAAGGGAAAAGAUUCUGUUCAACUAAAAAAACUUUCAGGAGAAUUCUACAGUGCUCUGCCACACAGAUUAGGCCAUACUGAAACCAUUUCAACAAAGAGAAUAUUGGCAAAAAAACAAAACCUCUGUCAGCUGAUAAAAGAUAUGGUUGCUGUUAGUGAAGCAACCAAUUGGUCCACUAGAGGGAGCCAGCAGUCAAAAUACAGAGCAUUACGCUGUCAAAUUGAAUACUUAGCACCAAUAAGUGAAGAAUAUGAGAGGAUAAAAUCUUUGGUGGAAGAUACUGCACCAAACGGUUCAAAUAACCUGGAUAUUGUGAACAUAUUUGCUGUGCAUAGACCAGUCGAAGAUACUCAUUUCACUCACAACAUCAGCAACAAAAGACUGUUGAUGCAUGCCUCUUCUGUGCAGAACUGUGUGGGGAUACUCUCAAGAGGACUACUGAUGCCAAAGGUAGUGGUAGAUGACUUUGGAGGAAAUAGGACAGAUAUUGGGAUGCUGGGAAGUGGAAUCUAUUUUGCUGAUUCAUCAAGCACAAGUGUAAAAUACUCAUCCCCAAGCUGUGUAAAAGGUACACGCAUGAUGCUGGUGAAUGAGGUAGCAUUGGGCCAGUGUAAGGAUUACUAUAAUUUCCAGACAGAGCUCAAGGCACCACCAGAGGGCUAUCAGAGUGUAAGAGGUGUGAAAAGUACAGAGAAUAUGACAUCAGAGUUUGAGGAUGAUGAGUAUGCUAUUUUCAAUACCAACCAGCAGCGAAUACGUUAUCUAGUAGAAUUCACAUUACCAAAUGAUAAAAUCAAGCAAAUGCAAGGAGAAGUGAGUGAAGAAAUAGAAAUAGAAGAACAAGCAGUAGAAGAACAAAUAGGAAUCCAGGAUGUGAGCAGCAUCACUGACCCACUGUCCAAAGUACAGGCUGGACUGGUGUCUAGUUCAGAUGAAGCUGUGCCACUACAUUCUGUCAGUGUCAAGGCAAAGCUGCAAGAUUUAGCUGCACAGGUUGUUGUAUUUCAAGUCUAUCAGAACCAGAGUGACCACUCUAUUGAAGCCAAGUAUGUGUUCCCUCUGGAUGAUAUGGCAGCAGUGUGUGGAUUUGAAGCAUACAUCAACAACAAGCAUAUCAUAGGGGAAGUCAAGGAGAAAGAAACAGCACACAGGGAAUACAAGAAGGCCAUUAGUGAGGGCCAUGGAGCUUACCUCAUGGACCAAGAUGAAGAAACACCAGAUGUGUUUACAGUGAGUGUUGGCAACCUCCCACCUAGGUGCCAAGUUGUGAUUAAGAUCACUUAUGUUGCGGAGCUGCAGGUGGAAGGAGAAAACAUAUGCUUUAGUUUGCCUGGUAGUGUGGCCCCUUGGAAGAAAGACUCUGCUCUUGCUGAAAUUACUCAGACAGAUGUGGAUACUGUCAAAGUAGAGAAAAGUGACCUCAGUGUUGAUGUGCAGGUUGCCAUAGAAAUGCCCUUUGACAUACGGACCAUCGAUUGUCCAUCCCACCAAGUCAAAGUCAAGAGAACUGCCUCCAUGGCUGUGGUGGAGAUGACAGCAGGACAAGCUUUGGGAGAUGGGUUCCAGUUAUUGAUAGGACUGGCCGAGAUCCAUGUGCCCAGGAUGUGGGUGGAGGAAGAUGCAGAUAACCCUGGAUCACCAGCUUGCAUGUUGACCUUCUACCCAGAGUUUGAAGCAGAGUCAGACCUGGCCUGUGAGGUUAUCUUACUGAUUGAUGUUUCCAAUUCUAUGAAGGAGAAAGCAUUGCAGGAUGCCAAGAAAGUGGCUUUGCUUACACUGCAUCAUCUGUCAAAUGGUUGUGUGUUUAAUGUUGUGUCUUUUGGAACUGGUUUUGAAGAGUUGUUUCCAUGUUCUAUGGGGAAGACAAAGUUAACAGUGAAACAAGCACAAGGAUUUAUUCAGGCAUUACAACCUUCUGGUGGGAACACAGAAGUUAUUCAACCACUGCAAGUAAAUUUCCUGCUCAAACCAAGUCAAGGGUUGCGCAACAUAUUCCUCAUCUCUGAUGGACAUGUCAACAACGAGGAAGCUGUCUUCACAGCUUUGAGAAAGAACUAUGAGCACACUAGGCUGUUUACUCUGGGAGUUAGUGCAACAGCCAAUAAGUACUUGCUACGGUCUUUAGCCAGAGUUGGAGCAGGGGCAUAUGAGUACUUUGACAAUAAAACUAAAUCCAAAUGGGAGAAAAAAGUGAAGUGUCAGCUAGACAAGGUCUCUCAGCCAGGCUUGACAUCUGUGUCUGUUGCUUGGCAACAGUAUGAUGAUGAUCUGCCACCUCCUGUACAGGCACCCAGCCAGAUCACCUCACUUUUCAAUGGUUCUAGACAGGUGGUGUAUGGGUUUGUGCCCAACUGUAUGCAAGCCACUCUUAAGGCAAUGAUCGCCGGAUUUGAAGUCUCUACAGUUGUUUCCACAUCUGACUUAAGCAUCACAAAAGGAAAGAUAUUACACCGUCUUACAGCUAAGGCAAUCCUUAGAGACUGGGAAGAGGGAAGCCUGGAUGAUGACAGGACACAGCAUGAGGUCCUGAAAAUGAAUCGAAAGAAUCUUAUAAUUCAGCUCAGCACAAAGUAUUCCAUUGUAACACAGUUUACCAGUUUCAUUGCCAUUGAAAAGAGAGAAAAGGAUGAAGAUAUGAGCAGUGAAGGUCCGAGGAUUGAGGCUAUCUUGGCAGAAGAAGAUGUAGAUAUUCUGCCAUAUAUUGGAUGGAAGGAGAAGGAAGAGAUUCUUAACAAGCAGGAGGAAAAACGGUUAAUAUUUCAUCUGACCUGUAAAGUUCUUUGACAUGUUUUUAGUCUAUUGUCUUGUCUGGAGAGAUAAGGCAGUUUGUUUCCAGUGUAAUUUGUUAUCUAGCCCUGAUUUGAAAACAAAGCCUUGCCUUAGAGGUGUGAUAAAAUGUUUUAUUGCAAGAACAUAAAAUUCCUUCUUGCAAAUUUGCGAAAGAAAUUGCCCCAGGCCUGAUAUUCUGCUGAGUGGGAUGAUAUGUGCUGUGUAUGUACUAAUUCUGUUUAUUUCUUUUGCUUAUAAAAUGUGGUCUGUACAAUUGCUUAAAUAGUGGCCACCACCUUGAAAAAAGUGUUGGAUGUUUUUGUUGUCCUGAAUCUUCAUUUUUCAAAGAAGUGACAUUUAUGUUUUGUGCAGUGAAUUAUUUGAGGCCUGAUCAAAGAUUACAUAUGAUUGCAAUAAAUGCAUGCAACAGUUCACUUCAUGAAAAUUAUGUAAAAAACAGUCCUGCUAUUUUGAUAUUGAAA